rnacentral:rRNA from 1 species
GCGAACGGGUGAGUACCGCGUAUGCAACCUACCUUUGACUGGAGGAUAGCUCCGAGAAAUCGGGAUUAAUACUCCAUGAAACCACAACGAGGCAUCUCGAUGUGGUCAAAGCUUCGGCGGUCAAAGAUGGGCAUGCGUCCCAUUAGUUUGUUGGUGAGGUAACGGCUCACCAAGGCGACGAUGGGUAGGGGGCCUGAGAGGGUUGUCCCCCACACUGGUACUGAGACACGGACCAGACUCCUACGGGAGGCAGCAGUGAGGAAUCUUGGUCAAUGGGCGAAAGCCUGAACCAGCCAUGCCGCGUGCAGGAAGACUGCCCAAAAGGUUGUAAACUGCUUUUCUACGGGAAGAAACUCCCGAUUUCUAUCGGGACUGACGGUACUGUAGGAAUAAGCACCGGCUGACUCCGUGCCAGCAGCCGCGGUAAUACGGAGGGUGCAAGCGUUAUCCGGAAUCAUUGGGUUUAAAGGGUGCGUAGGCGGAGCAGUAAGUCAGUGGUGAAAGGCUACGGCUUAACCGUGGAAUUGCCAUUGAUAC